rnacentral:rRNA from 1 species
UGCAAGUCGCACGAGAAAAUGGAGCAAUCCAUGAGUAAAGUGGCGUACGGGUGAGUAACACGUGGAUAAUCUACCUCUUGGUGGGGAAUAACUCUGGGAAACCGGAGCUAAUACCGCAUAAGCCUGCGAAGGGAAAGCAGCAAUGCGCCGAGAGAGGAGUCCGCGGCCGAUUAGCUAGUUGGUAGGGUAAUGGCCUACCAAGGCAAUGAUCGGUAGCCGGCCUGAGAGGGCACACGGCCACACUGGCACUGAAACACGGGCCAGACUCCUACGGGAGGCAGCAGUGGGGAAUCUUGCACAAUGGAGGAAACUCUGAUGCAGCGACGCCGCGUGAGCGAUGAAGCCCUUCGGGGUGUAAAGCUCUUUCGACGGGAACGAUAAUGACGGUACCCGGAGAGGAAGCUGCGGCUAACUACGUGCCAGCAGCCGCGGUAAUACGUAGGCAGCAAGCGUUGUUCGGAAUUACUGGGCGUAAAGAGUGUGUAGGCGGUUCUCUAAGUUCGGUGUGAAAUCUCCUGGCUUAACCGGGAGGGUGCGCCGAAAACUGGAGGGCUUGAGUAUGGGAGAGGAAAGCGGAAUUCCUGGUGUAGCGGUGAAAUGCGUAGAUAUCAGGAGGAACACCUGCGGUGUAGACAGCUUUCUGGACCAUCACUGACGCUGAGACACGAAAGCGUGGGUAGCAAACAGGAUUAGAUACCCUGGUAGUCCACGCCCUAAACGAUGCAUACUUGGUGUGAGCCGUUCAUUCGGUUCGUGCCGGAGCU